rnacentral:rRNA from 1 species
CAGUCGCCACGGUAAUACGUAGGUGGCAAGCGUUGUCCGGAAUUAUUGGGCGUAAGGGGCUCGCAGGCGGUUUCUUAAGUCUGAUGUGAAAGCCCCCGGCUCAACCGGGGAGGGUCAUUGGAAACUGGGAAACUUGAGUGCAGAAGAGGAGAGUGGAAUUCCACGUGUAGCGGUGAAAUGCGUAGAGAUGUGGAGGAACACCAGUGGCGAAGGCGACUCUCUGGUCUGUAACUGACGCUGAGGAGCGAAAGCGUGGGGAGCGAACAGGAUUAGAUACCCCAGUAGUCCCUGUCUCUUAUAC